rnacentral:rRNA from 1 species
UACGAGGGGGGCAAGUGUUGUUCGGAAUCACUGGGCGUAAAGGGAGCGUAGGCGGGCGCUUAAGUGGGAUGUUUAAAACCGGGGCCCAACCCCGGAGCGGCAUUCCAAACUGGGCGUCUUGAAUAGGGGAGAGGUCGAUGGAAUUGGAGGUGUAGCGGUGGAAUGCGUAGAGAUCUCCAAGAACACCGAUUGCGAAGGCAGUCGACUGGACCCAUAUUGACGCUGAGGCUCGAAAGCAUGGGGAGCAAACGGG